rnacentral:rRNA from 1 species
CAGUCGCCGCGGUAAUACGAGGGGGGCAAGCGUUGUUCGGAAUUAUUGGGCGUAAAGGGUGCGUAGGCGGUUUGGCAAGUUUGGUGUGAAAUCUUCGGGCUCAACUCGAAGUCUGCAUCGAAAACUGCCGGGCUUGAGUAUGGGAGAGGUGAGUGGAAUUUCCGGUGUAGCGGUGAAAUGCGUAGAUAUCGGAAGGAACACCUGUGGCGAAAGCGGCUCACUGGACCAUAACUGACGCUGAUGCACGAAAGCUAGGGGAGCAAACAGGAUUAGAUACCCGUGUAGUCCCUGUCUCUUAUAC